rnacentral:rRNA from 1 species
GAUGAACGCUGGCGGCGUGCCUAAUACAUGCAAGUCGAGCGAAUGGAUAAAGAGCUUGCUCUUAUGAAGUUAGCGGCGGACGGGUGAGUAACACGUGGGUAACCUGCCCAUAAGACUGGGAUAACUCCGGGAAACCGGGGCUAAUACCGGACAACAUUUUGAACCGCAUGGUUCGAAAUUGAAAGGCGGCCUCGGCUGUCACUUAUGGAUGGACCCGCGUCGCAUUAGCUAGUUGGUGAGGUAACGGCUCACCAAGGCAACGAUGCGUAGCCGACCUGAGAGGGUGAUCGGCCACACUGGGACUGAGACACGGCCCAGACUCCUACGGGAGGCAGCAGUAGGGAAUCUUCCGCAAUGGACGAAAGUCUGACGGAGCAACGCCGCGUGAGUGAUGAAGGCUUUCGGGUCGUAAAACUCUGUUGUUAGGGAAGAACAAGUGCUAGUUGAAUAAGCUGGCACCUUGACGGUACCUAACCAGAAAGCCACGGCUAACUACGUGCCAGCCGCCGCGGUAA